GCGGGAGCCGCGAGGAAGCACGAGGCAAGGGGGAGGAGGAGGCCCGGGUCUGGGGCUGCCCCCAGCCCUGCUGCGGGAGGACACAGUCCAGCUCUGUUUCCUCCUCCCCGUGGGUCAGGCAGCAGGGCCCCUCCUGGUGUCAGGACACAGUGCCCAGCUGAUGGGGACCGCCCUGAACUUUCUGGAGACAGAAGUCAUGACACCAAAUUCAUUCUCCUGAAAGCAGAGGGGGCUGGAGGUUUUUUUCUUUUCAUUUUUUUAAAAAAAAAUUUUGUUUUAAGAUUAACGAUCUAGAAAAGGACACAAUGCAAAUCAUGUCAGCAUGUCAACUAUCAGGAGUCUUGGUGCCGUCCCCCUAGAACGUGGCCAAAGGUUCAGGUGGUGUGGGCUGCCAUGCCAGCUCCCGGGGGGACAGUAGCAGAGGGCUAGCCUGGGCUAAGAGGCCAGAGAAAACUGGUCCAGAGAGACGGAGCAUUCGUCCAAGCAACACGGGACAGAGCUCACACGGGACGGAGUUGAAAUAAUGGUAAUUAACCUGCUAAGGGAGCUAGUAGAAAAAGUAGGCCACAUGCAAGAACAGACGGGAAAGGCAGACUGAGGGAUGCAGACCCCAAGAUCCAAUCAAAAAGAAAUGUUAGAAGUUAAAAAAAAAAACAGUAACCAAAAUGAAGACUGCUUCAUCAGCCUCCAGCAGCCCAGCCCAGCCUGAGAGAGAAUCCAGCCCCAGACAGGAAACGGCAGCUGCUCAGAAUGGGGUCCAGAGAGAGCAGAGGGCUGAGGAAAAACUGAGAGGUGAUACCACAGACGUAAGUACGUGUGAUCGGAACACUGGGGAAGGAAGAAAGACUAGAGCAGAGAAAUAUUUGGGGUGACAAUGGGAAAGCACGUCCCAAGUUAAUGAGACCCUAAGACACUCGCAGAAAUCUCAGAGGACACCAAGCACCCAGCUCCCUGGCACACGGUGUUACAGAAAAUCAAAGAAACUUUACUGAAUGAAGCCAGAGGGAUGAACCUUGAGCAGAGCGGAACAGAGGCCACAGCUAGAGGAAAAGGUACAGAGUACUAUGAAAUUUAAAACACAAUAUAAAAAGAAAUAUAUAAAAAUGUAAAACAAAAUAUAAAAAAUUCUAUAGUUAGCCAAACUAUCUUUUCAAGACGAGGGAGGAAUACUUGCUUUUGCAAAAACAAAAAUAAAAACGAAAAAUCAAGACACGGAGGGCGUUCCUGGUCAGCAGACCUGCCCUGUGACUCCAGGUUCUUCAGACAGAAAGAAAACCGUAUGGGUCAGACCCUGGAUUUGCACCAAGGAAGGAAGGUCACCAGAAAAGGAAGACACAAAGGUCACGGAAAACCUGUCAGGUUUCUCGACUGACUAAGGGAUCAUGCUGCUUGUAAAGCGAGGCUGGUAUUGAGGCGGGCACAUGGGGAGGCUGUAGUGGAGGACGGAUGGGUGCAGAGCAACGGUAGGGCAGGAGGGAAGAGGACCCUGUUCUACAGGGGGAGGGGCAAGGGGUGCCGUCAGGGCUAAUGACAAGCGCUCCAUGUGACAAAGGCUUAGCCCUCCAGGAAGGUACCACCGUGCGUUUGGAAGCACCUGGAGAAAGAGCUUAAAAUAGGCCAAACGUGGUCACAGGAAAGGGGGCAGCCAAGCCGGACAGGGUGGUCAGGGACUCAAACGCCCCUCUGUGGGUAAUGGAUGGACCCCGCAGGCAGGAAAUUCCUAAGGACACCGAUGACCUGAGCAGCACCAUCUUCAAUCCAUCUAAGUGACACUUACAGAAGUCCGUCCAGCCACAGCCGAACCCCUUGUGGAGUUCAAGGGAAGCAUUUGCCAAGACAGACCACAAUUAGGCCUUAGUAUGUUUAAAAGAGUGGAAAUCAUACCAACUAUGGAGACAGACUGCGGUGGGAUUAUCUAGCAGCCAAAAAGAUAAGAAGAAGAAGAGUAGCUAGAAAACCCCAAAUACUUGAAAAAUUAAACAACAUUUAAAUAAACUGUGUCCAAAAAUAAGUCUCAAAAGAAAUGAAAGAUAUUUUGAACUAAUGAAAAUAUAACUUAUUAAAACUGGUGGGAUAGAUGAAAGCCAGGCUUGGAGGGACACUUAAAGCACUUAUAUUAAACAGAAGGAAGAUCAGAAAUUGUUGACCUUGGUUUCCACCUUAGGGCGAAAGAGGAAAGAGCCAAAUAAGACUCAAGGAAGAGGAGGAAUAAAAAUUAGAGCUCAGAUCAAUGAAAUCGAGCAGAGGAAAGGAAUAGAGAGCAUCACUGAAACAGAAACCUGUUAUUUUGAAAGUCUUCAAUAAAUUGAUAAACCCCCAGGAAGGCUGAUCAAGACAAAAACAAGAGUUACUGAUACCAGAAAUGCAAAGAGACUCAUGGUUGCUACUCUGUUUGGCAUCUUAGGGAUGCUCCCGUGGACAGCUCCAUGCUCCCAAAUUUGACGACUUAGACCAGUUGUGCCCUCGACGCAAACCACCAGCACUCACACAUGGAGAAAAAGUAACACAAACAGGACCCCGUCUGUUAAAGAAAUCCAACCAAUAUCUUAAAACCCACCAGACAGAAAGUGUGAAGCCCAGAUGGUUUUACUGAUGAUUCCACAAAAUAGGUAAGAGGUGAUCCAGCUCCCCAGUGUCUUCAGUGUCCCCACUGGAUGCAGAGGGACAGGGACCAACUGACUGUGGGAAGGUAGCUGCCCUGGUAUCCAAACCAGCUGGAGGGGCUGCGCAUGCAGCUUGGUGGCAGAGCACUUGCCUUGCACGCGGGAGGCCCUGGGUUUGAUCGUCAGCACCACAUAAAAAUAAAUAUUAAAAAAACCAGGGGCUGGGGCUGGG
rnacentral:lncRNA from 1 species